GUGGAAAGCUUUUGCGGUGUGGGAUGGGCCCGCGGCCUAUCAGCUUGUUGGUGAGGUAAUGGCUUACCAAGGCGACGACGGGUAGCCGGCCUGAGAGGGUGACCGGCCACACUGGGACUGAGAUACGGCCCAGACUCCUACGGGAGGCAGCAGUGGGGAAUAUUGCACAAUGGGCGCAAGCCUGAUGCAGCGACGCCGCGUGAGGGAUGACGGCCUUCGGGUUGUAAACCUCUUUCGCCAGGGACGAAGCGCAAGUGACGGUACCUGGAGAAGAAGGACCGGCCAACUACGUGCCAGCAGCCGCGGUAAUACGUAGGGUCCGAGCGUUGUCCGGAAUUACUGGGCGUAAAGAGCUCGUAGGUGGUUUGUCGCGUUGUUCGUGAAAACUCACAGCUUAACUGUGGGCGUGCGGGCGAUACGGGCAGACUUGAGUACUGCAGGGGAGACUGGAAUUCCUGGUGUAGCGGUGGAAUGCGCAGAUAUCAGGAGGAACACCGGUGGCGAAGGCGGGUCUCUGGGCAGUAACUGACGCUGAGGAGCGAAAGCGUGGGGAGCGAACAGGAUUAGAUACCCUGGUAGUCCACGCCGUAAACGGUGGGUACUAGGUGUGGGUUUCCUUCCUUGGGAUCCGUGCCGUAGCUAACGCAUUAAGUACCCCGCCUGGGGAGUACGGCCGCAAGGCUAAAACUCAAAGAAAUUGACGGGGGCCCGCACAAGCGGCGGAGCAUGUGGAUUAAUUCGAUGCAACGCGAAGAACCUUACCUGGGUUUGACAUGCACAGGACGCCGGCAGAGAUGUCGGUUCCCUUGUGGCCUGUGUGCAGGUGGUGCAUGGCUGUCGUCAGCUCGUGUCGUGAGAUGUUGGGUUAAGUCCCGCAACGAGCGCAACCCUUGUCUCAUGUUGCCAGCACGUUAUGGUGGGGACUCGUGAGAGACUGCCGGGGUCAACUCGGAGGAAGGUGGGGAUGACGUCAAGUCAUCAUGCCCCUUAUGUCCAGGGCUUCACACAUGCUACAAUGGCCGGUACAAAGGGCUGCGAUGCCGUGAGGUGGAGCGAAUCCUUUCAAAGCCGGUCUCAGUUCGGAUCGGGGUCUGCAACUCGACCCCGUGAAGUCGGAGUCGCUAGUAAUCGCAGAUCAGCAACGCUGCGGUGAAUACGUUCCCGGGCCUUGUACACACCGCCCGUCACGUCAUGAAAGUCGGUAACA
rnacentral:rRNA from 1 species